UUCACGGCGGGCACCGCGCAUGCCCGAUUUUAGAAAGAGCCGAACUCCACGGUGGGGAGCGCACGCCUGCCAUCCAGCCUGUCCGGCCGGCGCGAGGUAGAAGCCGGCUAGCUAGAGCUCGAUUCGAUUCGAUCUGGCGCGCCGCGCGGACAGCUAGCGCGGCCGCCGAUUGCCUACUCGAUCGGCGGCAAGCGCCAGCCAUCCAUCUAUCCACCCAUCAUAUGGACCGGGUCGUUGCACAGCUCGCGCGCUCGGCGGGGAUCGAGAAGAGAAAACCCUAACAAGCAGCGGAAUGUUCUCCGCUAGCUCGUCGCUGCCACCGCGGGCCCAACACGUGCGUGCCCGCCCGCCCGGCUGCCUUGCCUACCUCUCCCUCCCUCCGCCUAUAUAGCCGGCCUCCCAACACUCUACCGUUCCCAUCUCCCCCACCCCCACCGAUCUCACAAGUCAGUCCGACCCCGGCGCGGUGGUCGCGGCGGCGCGUCGUGUACCUGCGAGCUAGCUAGGCGAAGGACCGGAGUGGGGCGCUGGGCGGUGACAGAAGAGAGUGAGCACACGGCCGGUCGUCACGGCACCGCCCGGGUGUGCCGUCGCGGCCGCGUGCUCACUGCUCUUCCUGUCAUCCACACUCUCCCGCUUCCCUCUUCCUCCUUGGCCCAAGCUAGCUUCGCUAGCACGCCGCCGCCCCCGCGCCCACCGCGCCGGCCGGCGCUCUCCGCCCCCCACCACACCGCCACCGCACAUGACCCCGUCCGUGUCCGUCACCGUGCCUGCUGUCAUUCUAUGCCGCCGUAGAAGUAGAACAGCCUCGCAAUUUCGUGCCUCGGAAAGUUUCCAUUUUUAGGGAGACUGGUACGCAGUACGGCGGCUGCGCGUGCGUACGCUUUCCCGCACACGGAUUCCCUCCCUUUCCGCCUCUCGCUUCGUACGAAGAGACCUUUUGCUUUCACAGAUUCGUUCAUCGUUUCCGAGGGGAUUCAAUUCAACCGUUAUCUGCUGCGACCUCCUUGGGAAGAUGGAAAGCAUUUACUGCGCCGCUGAUCGAUCCAACCUGCAGGUUCCCAAGAAUUUCGGAUCUUGAAGAACCAAAGGAACCAGUACUCGGAGUUGUUUUGAUAACAGAUCAACCUACUGAUGAUAAGGGGAAGGCAGAGGAAAUGCGCGGAUCGCUCAGAUCUGUUUACCACUUGACUCCAGCAUGCUCAGAGACCAGGUAAGUGCAGAUUUCUUGUGCAGCAGUGCAGCAUGCUGUCUCUAUGUUCUUCAAUUUUCCUACACGUGGCGUUGAUGCUUCUAGUAGUAAUUAGCUACCUCCAGACAAGGGUAGGCACUAGCUAGGUCACUGUGGAGUCACUGUUCCAUUGGAGACCUCUGUCGUCUUGUACUUAUCUUCGCACCGAAAGCGGCCGUGCGUGUA